rnacentral:rRNA from 1 species
UACGUAGGGGGCAAGCGUUGUCCGGAAUCAUUGGGCGUAAAGCGCGCGUAGGCGGCCCGAUCAGUCCGCUGUAAAAGUCCAGGGCUCAACCCUGGAAAGCCGGUGGAUCACUGUCGGGCUAGAGUCCGGAAGAGGCGAGUGGAAUUCCUGGUGUAGCGGUGGAAUGGCGCAGACUAUCAGGAGGAACACCGAGUGGCGAAGGCAGAUCUCUGGGCCGUAACUGACGCUGGAGGAGCGGAAAGCAUGGG